rnacentral:rRNA from 1 species
UACAGAGGUCUCGAGCGUUAGGCGGAAUCACUGGGCUUAAAGCGUGUGUAGGUGGAUCGUUAAGUACCUUGUGAAAUCCCACGGCUUAACCGUGGAACUGCUUGGUAUACUGGCGGUCUUGAGCCACUUAGGGGCUACCGGAACAAAUGGUGGAGCGGUGAAAUGCGUAGAUAUCAUUUGGAACGCCAAUGGUGAAAACAGGUAGCGGGGAGUGUGCUGACACUGAGACACGAAAGCCAGGGGAGCAAACGGG